UUUAUAUAAUUAUAUUUUUCUUAUUAUUUAGUUAAAUUUUUAUUUUUAUUUAAAGUUAUAUUAAUUAAUUUUUUUGUUAUAGUAUUCAUUUAAAAUUAAUAUUUUGGGUUAAAAUGUAAAUUAUUAUAUGAAAUAUUUUAAAAAUAUUUAAUUUGAAAAGUAAAAUUAAUUUUUUGUACCUUUUGUAUCAGGGUUUAUUAAUUAUUUAUUAUAAAUUUAAUUUUCUCGAAUUAAUUAGAGCUAAUAUAUUAUUUAAGUUAAUGUUUAAUUAUUAUUUAAAAUAUUAUAUUAGAGGAGAAAUUCUAGUCAAUAAUUAAGAUAUCUAGUUUUUUUAGAAAUAAAUUUAAUUUAUUUAUUAUUUUGGUAUAUAUUAAUAUUUCUUUUUUAUUUAUCUAUUUAAUAAAAAAAAUUUAAGGGAUUAGCUUUGAAUUUUUAGUUAAAAAUAUUAUUAAAAUUUUGAUAAAUUAUAGAUUUAAAAAUAGUUAUUAAUUAAAGUUUUUAAUAAUUUAUUUAUGUGUAAUAUAUGAAAAUUUUAAUUUAUUUUAAUUAUUUAUAAAAAUAUUUUAAUUAAUUAAUUAUUAUUAGCAAUAAUGAUAAAAUUAUUAUAGAGUUAUUUAUGUAAUAGAAUUUUAUUUGUGUAAGUAAGUGAUUAUUUACUUAUUUGAAAUAUAAUUAUAAGGAACUAGACAAAAGUAAUAUUUACCUGUUUAACAAAAACAUGUCUUUUUGAUUUUAUAAUUUAAAGUCUGAUCUGCCCACUGAAAAGUUUUAAAUGGCCGCGGUAUUUUGACCGUGCAAAGGUAGCAUAAUCAUUAGUUUUUUAAUUGAAAGCUUGUAUGAAUGAUUGGAUAAAAUAUUAAUUGUCUCAUAAUUAUUUAUUUUAAAAUUUAAUUUUUAAAUUAAAAAGUUUAAAUUUUAUUAUAGGACGAGAAGACCCUGUAGAUUUUUAUAAAUAACUAUUUAUUUUGAUUAAAUUUAUUUAUUAUUUUAAAUAUUUAUUUAUUUUGUUGGGGUGACAUUAAAAUUAAAUUAACUUUUAAUUUAUCUAUACAUUAAUGUAUGUAUUUUUAUAUAUAAUAUAAUUAUUUAUUAAUUUUUGAUCCUAUUUUUUAGAUUAGUAAAUUAAAAUACCUCAGGGAUAACAGCGUAAUUUAUUUGGAGAGAUCAUAUUAAUAAAUAAGUUUGCGACCUCGAUGUUGAAUUAAGAUAAUAAUUAGGCGGAGAUGCUUAAUUGAAUAGGUCUGUUCGACCUUUAAAUUCUUACAUGAUUUGAGUUCAGAUCGGCGUGAGCCAGAUCGGAUUCUAUCCUUAAUUAGUUAAUAAUAUUUUUGUACGAAAGGACUUAAUAUUUUGAAUAUUUUUAUUAUAAAUUGAAUAAAAUUAAUUUUUUG
rnacentral:rRNA from 1 species